rnacentral:rRNA from 1 species
UAAGGAAUAUUGGUCAAUGGACGCAAGUCUGAACCAGCCAUGCCGCGUGGAGGAUGAAGGUCCUCUGGAUUGUAAACUUCUUUUAUCUGGGACGAAACACUUCUUUUCUAAGAGGCCUGACGGUACCAGAUGAAUAAGCACCGGCUAACUCCGUGCCAGCAGCCGCGGUAAUACGGAGGGUGCAAGCGUUAUCCGGAUUCACUGGGUUUAAAGGGUGCGUAGGUGGGUAUGUAAGUCAGUGGUGUAAUCCCCGAGCUUAACUUGGGAACUGCCAUUGAUACUAUAUAUCUUGAAUACCGUAGAGGUAAGCGGAAUAUGUCAUGUAGCGGUGAAAUGCUUAGAUAUGACAUGGAACACCAAUUGCGAAGGCAGCUUACUAUGCGGUGAUUGACACUGAGGCACGAAAGCGUGGGUAGCAAACA